UACGGAGGAUGCAAGCGUUAUCCGGAUUUAUUGGGUUUAAAGGGUGCGCAGGCGGACCUAUAAGUCAGCGGUGAAAUCUCUCGGCUCAACCGAGAAACUGCCAUUGAUACUGUAGGUCUAGAGUUUAUUUGACGUGGGCGGAAUGUAGCAUGUAGCGGUGAAAUGCUUAGAUAUGCUACAGAACACCGAUUGCGAAGGCAGCUCACGAAACUAAAACUGACGCUGAGGCACGAAAGCGUGGGGAGCAAACAGG
rnacentral:rRNA from 1 species